GACGAACGCUGGCGGCAUGCUUAACACAUGCAAGUCGAACGGAAAGGCCCUGCUUUUGGGGGGUGCUCGAGUGGCGAACGGGUGAGUAACACGUGAGUAACCUGCCCUUGACUUUGGGAUAACUUCAGGAAACUGGGGCUAAUACCGGAUAGGAGCUCCUGCUGCAUGGUGGGGGUUGGAAAGUUUCGGCGGUUGGGGAUGGACUCGCGGCUUAUCAGCUUGUUGGUGGGGUAGUGGCUUACCAAGGCUUUGACGGGUAGACGGCCUGAGAGGGUGACCUGCCACAUCGCGUCUGAGAUGCGGCCCAGACUCCUACGGGAGGCAGCAGUGGGGAAUAUUGCACAAUGGGCUGAAGCCUGAUGCAGCAACGCCGCGUGCGGGAUGACGGCCUUCGGGUUGUAAACCGCUUUCGCCUGUGACGAAGCGUGAGUGACGGUAAUGGGUAAAGAAGCACCGGCUAACUACGUG
rnacentral:rRNA from 1 species